UACGUAGGGCCCGAGCGUUAUCCGGUAUCAUUGGGCGUAAAGAGUGCGUAGGCGGUUUUGUAAGACAGAGGUUAAAGGUCCGGGCUCAACCCGGAACAUGCCUUUGUGACUGCAAAACUUGACGGUAGCAGGGGCAAGCAGAAUUCUCGGUGUAGGAGUGAAAUCCGUUGAGAUCGAGAGGAAUACCAAUGGCGAAGGCAGCUUGCUAGGUUACUUGUGACGCUAAGGCACGAAAGCGUGGGGAGCGAACGGG
rnacentral:misc_RNA from 1 species